CCGAACCGACUAAUGUUGAAAAAUUAGCGGAUGACUUGUGGCUAGGGGUGAAAGGCCAAUCAAACCUGGAGAUAGCUGGUUCUCCCCGAAAGCUAUUUAGGUAGCGCCUCGGACGAAUACUAUACCAGUAAGUACUAUCCGGGAGACACACGGCGGGUGCUAACGUCCGUCGUGGAGAGGGAAACAACCCAGACCGCCAGCUAAGGUCCCAAAUUACUACUAAGUGGGAAACGAUGUGGGAAGGCUCAGACAGCCAGGAUGUUGGCUUAGAAGCAGCCAUCAUUUAAAGAAAGCGUAAUAGCUCACUGGUCGAGUCGGCCUGCGCGGAAGAUGUAACGGGGCUAAGUAGUAAACCGAAGCUGCGGCAAUGUGCUUUUGCACAUUGGGUAGGGGAGCGUUCUGUAAGCGGUUGAAGGUGUGUGGUAACGCAUGCUGGACGUAUCGCAGGGUAAGUCGACCCCUAAGGCGAGGCCGAAAGGCGUAGUCGAUGGGAAACGGGUUAAUAUACUACGGUGGUGAAGUCAUUGAUGCCAUGCUUCCAGGAAAAGCCUCUAAGCUUCAGAUUGUAAGGAAUCGUACCCCAAACCGACACAGGUGGUCGGGUAGAGAAUACCAAGGCGCUUGAGAGAACUCGGGUGAAGGAACUAGGCAAAAUGGUACCGUAACUUCGGGAGAAGGUACGCUCUCGACGGUGAAGUCCCUCGCGG
rnacentral:rRNA from 1 species